rnacentral:rRNA from 1 species
UACGUAGGGGGCUAGCGUUGUCCGGAAUCAUUGGGCGUAAAGCGCGUGUAGGCGGUCCGGUAAGUCCGCUGUGAAAGUCGGGGGGCUCAACCCUCGGAUGCCGGUGGAUACUGUCGGGCUUGAGGUACGGAAGAGGCGAGUGGAAAUUCCUGGGUGGUAGCGGGUGAAAUUGCGCAGAUAUCAAGGAGGAACCGACCCAAUUGCGCAAGGGCAGGACUCCACUUGGGGACCGGUUAAAGCCGUCCGCCGUGGAAGACCUGCCGAAAAGCGUUGGGGGGGAAGGGCCAAAACCAGGGAAUUAAGGACGGUCCCCGGGUAAGGCCCUAGAAUCCCCGAAAUG